CGAGGCGAACCGGGGAAACUGAAACAUCUCAGUACCCCGAGGAAAAGAAAUCAACCGAGAUUCCCCCAGUAGCGGCGAGCGAACAGGGAGCAGCCCAGAGUCAACAUCAAUAUUUACCGCAGGAGAAAGAUCUGGAAAGGCCGGCAAUAAAGGGUGAUAGCCCCGUAUCUGAAGCGGUAAGUGUUGUGAACUCGAAGAGUAAGGCGGGACACGUGUUAUCCUGUCUGAAUAUGGGGGGACCAUCCUCCAAGGCUAAAUACUCCUGACUGACCGAUAGUGAACCAGUACCGUGAGGGAAAGGCGAAAAGAACCCCGGCGAGGGGAGUGAAAUAGAACCUGAAACCGUGUACGUACAAGCAGUAGGAGCACCCGAAAAGGUGUGACUGCGUACCUUUUGUAUAAUGGGUCAGCGACUUAUAUUCUGUAGCAAGGUUAACCGCAUAAGGGAGCCGUAGGGAAACCGAGUCUUAACUGGGCGUUAAGUUGCAGGGUAUAGACCCGAAACCCGGUGAUCUAGCCAUGGGCAGGUUGAAG
rnacentral:rRNA from 1 species